rnacentral:rRNA from 1 species
CAUUUUAAACUUGCAGAGUAGAAUUGUGAGAGAGGGGUAGAAAUUCAGGUAAGGGGAAAAGGUAUAGAUCUGAAAGAAAUCCGGAGGGAAGGCCACCCCCUGGGCAUCAACUGACACUCAGAUGUGCGAAGCGUGGGGAGAGAAACACAGAUUUCAGAUCCCGGUAUAGCCCACCCUAAAAGAAAUGUACAUUGAGAGUGUGGCCUUGAGCCGUGGUUUUCCAAGGCAAAGCGUUAAGUAGACCGCCUGGGGAAGUCGGUCGCCAGGUUAAAAAUCAAAUGAAAUGGCGGGGGCCCGCCACAGCCGUGGAGCCAUGUGUUUAAUUUGAUGCAAAGGGAAGAACCUUACCUACUAUUGACAUUCCAAGAACUUUUCAAAGAAUGAAUGGGGCCUUUGGGAAAUUUGAAACCAGUGGUGCCAGGGCGUUGUUCAGUUGUGGUGUUAAAAGGUGGGUUAAGUUCCGCCAAGAGGGCCACCCCUAUCCUUGUUUUGCCAGGAAUUAUGUCGGGAACUCCAAGGAGACUGCCGGUGAUAAACCGGAGGAAGGUGGGGACGACGUCAAGUCAUCAUGGCCCUUACGAGUAGGGCUACACACGUGCUACAAUGGCGCAUACAGAGGGCUGCCAACUUGCGAAAGUGAGCGAAUCACAAAAAGUGCGUCGUAGUCCGGAUUGGAGUCUGCAACUCGACUCCAUGAAGUCGGAAUCGCUAGUAAUCGUGAAUCAGAAUGCCACGGUGAAUACGU